GAUGAACGCUGGCGGCGUGCCUAAUACAUGCAAGUCGAGCGGACAGACAGGAGUGCUUGCACUCCUUGAAGUCAGCGGCGGACGGGUGAGUAACACGUGGGUAACCUACCUAUAAGACUGGGAUAACUUCGGGAAACCGGAGCUAAUACCGGAUAAUAUGUUUCACCUCAUGGUGAAACAGUGAAAGACGGUUUCGGCUGUCACUUAUAGAUGGACCCGCGGCGCAUUAGCUAGUUGGUGAGGUAACGGCUCACCAAGGCGACGAUGCGUAGCCGACCUGAGAGGGUGAUCGGCCACACUGGGACUGAGACACGGCCCAGACUCCUACGGGAGGCAGCAGUAGGGAAUCUUCCGCAAUGGACGAAAGUCUGACGGAGCAACGCCGCGUGAGUGAAGAAGGUUUUCGGAUCGUAAAACUCUGUUGUAAGGGAAGAACAAGUACGUUAGUAACUGAACGUACCUUGACGGUACCUUACCAGAAAGCCACGGCUAACUAC
rnacentral:rRNA from 1 species